rnacentral:rRNA from 1 species
AUGCUGGAGGAGGUGAAGGUGGUGGAGUGCUGCAUGGUGACGCCCAGCGAGGAGAUGCCCAGGCGCGGACUCUGGCUCUCCCCGCUCGACCUCAUGAUGGUCAACAGGGGCCACACACCGAACGUCUACUUCUACCACUCCGCCUCCGGCGACGGCUUCUUCGACGUGGCCAGGCUGAAGGCCGCGAUGGCCAAGGCCCUGGUCCCCUUCUACCCCCUCGCGGGCCGUCUGGGCGUUGAUGGUGAUGGCCGGCCAGAGAUCGACUGCACUGGACAAGGUGCGCGCUUCGUGGUCGCUCGCUCGGAACUCGCCGCCGACGACUUCAGCGCCCGCCAGCCGUCGCCGGAGCUGAGGAGGCUCUUCGUCCCCGGGGACAUCGACGACGUCAUGCUCGCCGUCCAGGUGACCUUCUUCAAGUGUGGUGGGGUGGCCCUAGGCACGGCGCUGCACCACGUCGCCAUCGACGCCCUAAGCGCGGUCCACUUCAUCCAGACGUGGUCCGCCUUCUCCAGAGACGGGGCCAGCGACGCCGCGGCGGCGCUGGAGCUGCCAUGGCACGACCGCACCCUCCUCCGCGCACGCUCCCCGCCACGCGUCAUCAACCCCGACGCUCUCUCCGUGUUCUUGCCCCUCAAAAACGACCCAAACGAACCGUCUGGAGCUGCCGUCAACGAGAUUUUUGUUCUUUCCAAAGACCACGUCGCCGCUCUGAAGCGUGCCUGCGGUGGCGCGAGCACGUUCUGCGCCCUCAGCGCCCACGUGUGGCGCUGCAUGUGCGCCGCUCGGCGGCUGCCGACGGACGCCGAGACGCGGCUCACCUUCCCGGCUAACUUCCGGCGCAGCCUGCUGAGGCCGCCGCUCCCGGCACGCUACUUCGGCAACGGGAUAAUCAUGGUGGGCACCGCCUGUAAGGUGCGGGACGUCGUCGCGGACGGCUUGGAGGACCAGGCGCCGCUGGCCCCCGUCGCCGGACGGAUCAGGGACGCCGUCCGCGGGCUGGACGACGAGCUGGUGCGCUCCACGAUCGACUACCUGGAGACAACGCCAACUAUGCCUGCGGCGCGCAGCAUGCCGGCGACGGAGCUGAGGAUUAACAGCUGGCUGGGCAUGCCGGUGUACGACGCGGAUUUCGGGUGGGGGAAGCCGCUAGCAAUGCAGCGCGCCGUGCAGCAGCGAGCAGGGCUCGUCUACCUCGCCGACAACGGCGAGGACGGGGGCGUGCGAGUCCUCGUGUCCGAGCCUUCCUCGGUUCUCGAAGCAUUCUGA